rnacentral:lncRNA from 7 species
AAAACAGAGAAGUUGCAACUAUGGGGAUGGAUUUGGAGCAAUCCAGAUUUCAUUUGCCCCCUUUCCACAAGAAGGUUGUGGAAGCUGUGCUCCUGACCCAUUUGUUCUUCCAUUACGCUGUAAUGUUUGGAAAAAUACACAGCAGGAUUUAUGGAAAGUGCUUCAAAGCCUAAUUUUCCUCUCCAAAUCUCCAGCAGGUAUCUCUCCGAGCUCCGCUUCACAUGAGGAGUACGUGCAGCUGACCUCCUGAACUGGGCAUGGAAGAAGCAGAGAAAGCCAAAUCUCUCUCUGUUGUGCUCAGGCCUUGAAAUCACCCAAGGUCACUACUGCAAAACACAGCGUGCCCUGAGGACCUCCCCAGCCUUUCUGCACAGGUGACCUAACAGGAAAGCUAAGUGGAACUUUGGGUUGGUGGUGAUAUGCAGGCCAACCCAAAGACAACUGAAUCUGACUCAUUUCCUUUAUCAUUACCUUUUUAACCCUUUAAAGAUCAGCCUUUGUAACCAAUAAAAUUGAUCAUGCAUGCCUUCACUGUUCAGACUUGCUGUGUAUUCAGCAGCUGUUUUCUAACUUACAGUAUCUCUUGUGUUUUGUCCCUGAAUUCCAUGCAGUCUGUGACUCCCAUAUGGACAAACUUGUCUGUCCUUGAUAUGAAAUUUGGUCUCAGCUUUGGCAGUUUGCAAGUCUACACUACAGCAUAUCUUUAAAAAGGAAAACCAGCAGCUGCAACUAACCAGAACGUUCUGCAUCACCUUCAACUACUGUAGCCCUUUUGAUACUGAUAGCAGAGAGUUUUUUAAUAACUAUCUCUAUUUACCCGCAUGUUCUUUGAGGUGUGAGCUGGCUCAUGAUGAUGACAGUAUCCACUGAGGACCAGAAAACUAUAAACAGUACUAUAAACUCAAAGAUGUGUGUAUGGCACCAGAGGUAAAGCAUUCCCAUACUGAUGUGGAAUCUAAUUCCAGCCAAUGAUUUGUAACAAUCAUGAACUUAACCUGGAAGGAGACAGGAAAGCAGUCAUGUGAGGUAAAUGGGCUUUGUCUCCCCAAAGCCUUCUCUCUUGAAAUGAUUUCCUCAUUAAUGCACUCCUUCCUAAAUUCUACUUUAGCUCUCAUUUGCAUUUUUGAGUUCUUAAGGCUGUUUUCAGAUGUACUGUAUACACGCCAAAGGCCAUGUAAAUGCAGGCUCUACACUGAGCUCAGUGAACUUCAGCCAAUUUAUUCUAGUUGAGUAACUGUCCAGGUGAAUCCAGAUUUCUUUACUCAUUUUUCAGCAGAAUAAACUGUAAUCAGCCUCUCUGUAAAUAUGCAUCUUAUAUACCCAAUAUUAACUAGAUCUAAUCAGCUUAAUUAUGUGGUUAAUAAUAAUUCAAGUUCAUGCAGCAUAAUCUUCUAUUUAAAGUGGGUACAAUAUUUUACAGUAUCUGAAAAAUGGCUUGGCUUAAUAAACAGAUGGAAGAAAAAUAUCUUUAAAAAGAGAAUUAAAGGACAACUCUUGAAUGCAGAUUGCAGCAUUACCCAAAGAACAUUCACACACAAAUCCUUCUUCCAGAGAAGUGCUGCACAACAGGCGUUCACCAACAAAAGGAUUUCCAAUACUAUUUGAAAUCCUGUUCUGGCUUCUACAGUGCAAAUCUGUCUCCUCAUCUGCAGGAGAGCUCAAAAACAGUACAGUUGUGUUCUACUGUGCAAGUGCCAACCCUACGGCAGUGCCAAUUCUGUACUGUAUAAACCGUUUUGUAUCUCUAUUUCUACCUGCUAUCUCUUUUGCCUCACUGGUACAAACAAAUGUUGUUUUGGUGCAAGGCACUGCAGAAUGAGUCUGGAUGCAUUGGCAUACUUCUGAGUUCACUUCCUGAACCGUAUUAAUAUCUAAUAAUUAAAAACCGUUUUCAAAUACUUAAAAUUCAUGUUUCACUAAAGAUGGUUAUACCCAACACCCACAUUUUGACCACUUUUGGUUUAUAAUUAUCCUUUUCUAAUUCUUCCAUAUUUACUUAUUGUAACUCUAUAUAUCAUAUACAGCAUUUAAUGCUAUAUUUUAAACUGCAGACAGCAAAUCAAAAUGCUUCAGCUCUGUUUUUCAUGGUUCAGACAUGUCUGAAAUAUAAUGAGAGCAGGGAUUUGUCUGCCCUGAUUUAAUUACUACAAUCCAGAUAACUCUGUCAAUCAAUUUUUCUCCUUGUGACUCCUGGCAGGGUGAAAAAUGCCUUCAUUAUAAGGACUGAUCAUUAGUGGAUGUGAAGUUGAGAAGAUGAUGAAGAUGAGUUGUUGGGUCUGGCAGAGAAUUGACCCAUCAGUGUCAUUAAGUGAACUGCGGCAAGCCCAGCAAUUCCCAUGGGGCAAAUCAUUGAAUUCCUCAGGAGCAAAGGUCUGUGUCUGUCUAUACCAAAGCACUUUGAAAUGUACACACAUGCAGUUUGCAGUAGUCUGAUGGAUAACUAAACAAUUACACAGGCAGUAACUGAUUUGUCCUUCUCUUUUCAUGAAAGAAACAACCUUUAAGGUACUGUGUUUUAGUUUCCUUUCUAUGUGACGGUUUAAAUAACGUUUAUAUCCACUGCCCUUUCAACUCUGUAUUACCAAAGUUAGCUCCAAGCUGCAUGCACCUCCCAACACACAAAAGCUCUGUAUU